GCCGGGCAUGGUGGCUCAUGCCUGUAAUCCCAACACUUUGGGAGGCUGAGGUGGGUGGAUCACUUGAGGUCGGGAGUUCGAGACCAACCUGGCCAACAUAGUGAAACCCCAUCUCCA
rnacentral:SRP_RNA from 1 species